rnacentral:rRNA from 1 species
AACGAACGCUGGCGGCAUGCCUAACACAUGCAAGUCGAACGAGACCUUCGGGUCUAGUGGCGCACGGGUGCGUAACGCGGGGGAACCUGCCCUUAGGUUCGGAAUAACUCCCCGAAAGGGGUGCUAAUACCGGAUAAUGUCUGCGGACCAAAGAUUUAUCGCGUUUGGAUGGGCCCGCGUUGGAUUAGCUAGUUGGUAGGGUAAAAGCCUACCAAGGCGACGAUCCAUAGCUGGUCUGAGAGGAUGAUCAGCCACACUGGGACUGAGACACGGCCCAGAAUCCUACGGGAGGCAGCAGUGGGGAAUAUUGGACAAUGGGCGAAAGCAUGAUCCAGCAAUGCCGCGUGAGUGAUGAAGGCCUUAGGGUUGUAAAGCUCUUUUACCCGGGAUGAUAAUGACAGUACCGGGAGAAUAAGCUCCGGCUAACUCCGUG